CCUUCGAUAGCUCAGUUGGAAGAGCGCGAGACUGUAAUCGGUUACACAGCCACAAGCUGAUCUUGAGGUCGCUGGUUCGAUCCCGGCUCGAAGGA